rnacentral:lncRNA from 1 species
AGCAAUCAAGAAUUUCAUUAAUAUAAACCCAAAAUGAUGUUAACAUUUCAACUCAUGGUGGCAUUAAUAGUUAAAAUAUACAUAUUUCAUCUAAGACAUGUAUCUUAGUAUUUUACAUCACAUGAACGUACUCAUAAAACAAAAUGACUCUUGACUUCCAACGAAGUGACCACAGUGAAGAUGCAGCUAUUGAGAUGUCAUAGUACCUACCAAGAAAGUGAGCAUAUGUGUGCAACUCAAUCUAGGUCCCAACUGCCUCCAAAUCUGAAAACAUGAAUUUUAAAAACGUGAGUAUAAAACUCAGUGAGUGAACAUAAGAAGGGAACAAGCAAUCAAUAGGAAGAAUUUGGAAAUCAUGAUGCACUUGUUUCCAAAAACAAUGCACUUGAUUUAAUUUCUUACUAAAAACCCCUCAUUUCAAACCUUGAUUAAUGCCCUCAUAGUGUUUCACAAACCCAUGAUCAAUCCAUCAACUUAAAUGGGUGAAAAAUAUGUCAAAAACCGAAUAGGGUAGCAUGUAGGACAAAAUGUUUCUCGCUGCAGCGAGAAACAACACUAGUUUGCAUGUGUUUCAGUUUUUCUGGCAUAUCUUCCGUUACAGAAGUUCAAUUGACCUUAUUUUUUGACCAUUAGAAAGAUAAGAGGCAGGGUUACAACUUUUAUGUUUACCACGUUUCCCAGUUCGGACGGGAAAGUGGUUAAAAUCUUCAUCAAAGUGAAGGUACUGCAUUAGAACCCGAGAGUUUCUCGCUGCAACGAGAUUUAUUUUUGCUGCAGCGAGUUUUCUGCUGCCAAAACAGAAUGUUUCUCGCUGCAGCGAGAAGCAAGGCACCUAAGUGAAAAAGGGGUCUCCUUUGCACAAAAAUCCAUUUGGUGCUGCAACAAAGAUCAAUUUGCUAGAAAAUGGGAAUAUCUCAAGAUUCAUCAUGCCAAAUUUCACAUGCAUUACAACCAUAUACCUUUACUCAUAAACCUCCUAUAACUCAUAUUUACAUAUGUAUAUUUAUAUAUACCCAACAUCAUCAUACAAACCAUCCCAUCAUCAUCAGCUCAUGCGCACUCCCUACUCGCACAUGGCUGGGUCAUCACCGGGUUAUACGCACUCCCUACUCGCACAUAACCGGGUCAUCAUCGGCUUAUGCGCACUUCCUACUCACACAUAGCCGAGUCAAUAUCAUUACAUAACAAUAUAUUCAUACGUAUAUAUAUAUCAACAUAAUGUAGCAGUAUAUGAAUCCAUAAUAGCCACAUAUCACAACACAAAGAUAAUUUAUCAAGGGCUUGUUCUCAAGGCACCUAUUUUUAAGAAAAGUUUGAUAAAAUCAUUUAAUGUCUUGUGCAAACACAUUCACAUUCCUAAAAAUACUUUGAAAUGCAAGUUCACUCACCGGUCUUGUUGAUUCUUUUGCUUGACUCUAACCUCAACUAAUGCUCCAAAUGGACAUGUGACGCCUUGUUGGAACCUAUACACACACAACAUCACAACCAACCCAAAUUGGCAUUAAUACCAUUCCAAAACUAUUUUCUAAAUUGGGUUCUACUAGUCAUUCCUAACUAGUUUCCAACCACCAUUAAAUGGCUGUUGUUUGCAAUUCUCUAGUCACACUAAAAUGAAUAACAAUCCCAACAAAUAAACUCCCAUAAUUCCAAUUACUAAACAUUCUCAACACCUAAAAAUCAACUAUAGUUCACUACUCACUUUGGUAGCUUUAUAAUUGAAAUUCUUUCCAAAAAUUGUCAAGCUACUAUGGAAGCUCCCUCUUUCUCCCUCUAAAACUUUCAACUAGUGAGAAAAAGUGCUGAACAAAGACUUUUUUAAGGGUUUUAAUGUGUAAAAGUGGAAGAGCAUGAAAAACUGUAUAAAAGAGUGGGCAAAAGCAUGAAAUUUGGAGCUAGAGAGAGAAAGUUAUGAAGUUUUCAUACCAUGCUUCCAUGGAGGGGAAAACAAACGUGAGAUGGAAGGUGGAAGAAGAAAAAGCUGCUGGAAAUUAAAGAUAUUUAUAGCUCAAGCUUAUCCAUUCCACUUGAAAUUACGAAAAUGCCCUUAGCACAUUAACUUGUUCUCCUUCAAUCCUUGGUGCAAUCUUUUUACUCUUUUGAUACUAAAACAAGUCCAUAAUGGUCUAGACAUGCUCGGGUUUACGAAACUUAAAAAUUUUGACUCAAGGUGAAAAAUGACCAUUUUGCCCCUAUGGUGAAAAUUUUUGAAACUUUUAGUUUUCUUCAUGUUUUCAUCAUUACACAUUAUUUAUUCGGUCUUAUGCCUAUUUAGACCUUAAAAUAUCAUAAAACCUUCUUUUGAGAGCUUUUUAGAGAAAAUGACGAAACUACCCCUAGCCCGUGUUAUUGCGUCUAUGCAUAGUUAUGAGCCUAUAGUGGUUGAGGUCUUAAAAAUGCGUAGUCAUAACAUUACAUCUUUGAGUGGUCCUACCUAAUCAUAACAUUGUCACGUGUGGUGGCCAAUCGACAGACAAUAUUGUAUCAUCAUAUCAUGCCCCAAUGCCAAAACAAACGACAAAGUACAUAGUCAUCAUCCGGAGUGAUCUCAACGGAUGGAAUCAUAGCAUUAAAUGGGAGAAUCAAAGGUGGAAUAAAACCACCAUCUUUGCCUACCACCAUCCUUGUAGGCAAAACAUAACAUCAUGCAUAGCAUGCGAGAAUCACGGGUGAGAUAAAACCACCAUCCCUGUUGACAACAUACAUGGUCACAGGGAUAAGGACACAUUGAACCUCAUGUCAUACGUUGUCUGAAAAUCAUCCACGGACAUAACAUACUGCCUUACAUCACAUCAUCAUCCGAAAUGAUCCGCAGAUGGAUCAUAUUCAUCACUUAUAAUCAUUACUAGUCAUGUUUGUCAUCAUAUGACUAUCAAUUAUACAUAAUCAUGUCGUUCUCACCAUAACACUUAUUCUUCGUCAUCAUAAACUUAAUUUAUCCUAGGUACAUUCCUUCUAGGCAUCUCCUAUAACAUUCAUAGCAUAUACUAGCCUAGACACAACAUUUCAAGGCAUUUCACAUUCUUCAUUUCAUGUAAAUAUCACUAUUCUUUAGCAUAGGCAUAAUCCUUUAGGCACAUCAUAUUAUCUCCAUGCCAUACAUUCGUUUAGGAAUUUUAUUUCUAGACAUACAUAACAUAUAAAUUCAUAAGGACCAUACAAUGGCACCUAGUCAUCAUGCUCCUAAUUCAUAAAUCCCCAUGUACGUUGACACUUCAAGUGUUCCUUAUCAACCUUGUGCAAUUUAGCUCACAAAAGCCUCAACUUCAAUCCACACAAUUUCAUCUAGCAUUUACAAUGCAAUUUCAUUAACAUUCAUACACACUUUGUCUAUUUCAUAAUUAAAUUCCCAGCUUUUCAACAUAACACAUUUUCUAGUAAUUCAUCAUACAAGCUCAACUCUCAUAAAUUUUUCAUCGAUGAACUAAACUUUCACCUUAGAUAUCGUUUUGACUUGUUCUAGUGUCAAAUCUCUAGCCACUUUCAAACGUCAUCAACCACCAAAGCUGGUACAUGAAAAUUCUACAUCAUUAACAGUUUAAAUUUUAAAAAAAAAUCAGUGAAAAGCUUCAAUCUUACUUUUAGAUUGAUUUUCUAGCUUCAAAUCACCUUUUCCAAGCUUCAAAUUGCACUUGCGGGACAUAGGGAUCAAAGGGUAGCAAGGGGCCGUUUUUUCCUUUUGUUUUCUAUAUGGGCGAACAACCAAAUGCCCUUUUUAUUUUUGCAAGGUUUUACUCAUCUAUCAAUAGAUGGCAUGCAUCUAUCAAUAAAACCCUCACUAAUCUUAUCAUUUUCUUUUCAUUUAUUGAUAGAGUUUUUGAAUCUUUCGAUAAAUGGCUUUUAUGCAUUUUUAUUUCACUCCCGUGGUGCAAUAUAUCAAUAGUUUUCAAGCAUCUAUCAAUAAAUUGAGCCCUAUUACCUUUAUCAUCAAUCCUAGGUGCUCAUCUAUCAAUAGAUUUUGAGCAUCUAUUGAUAGAUUUUGCUGCUAAUUUUUUUUGAACUCCCGAGUGGCAGUUUAUCGAUACUUACUGUGCAUCUAUCGAUAGAUGUUCUUUAGCCCUUACAUUUCUUUACUACUAACUUACAUCUAUCCAUAUAUCAUGAACAUCUAUCGAUAGAUUAUUCUUAGGCUUUAAUUUUCUACAUAUUUAACCUCCCAAAUUCCUUCCUCUAAGUUCUUGAAGCAUUUCCAUUCUCAUAAUCAUCAUAUUCCGUCAUGCUUUACUCAUUAUCAUCACAUACAUUCAUCAUAUAACUUAGAAUUCACAUUCAUGCUCUACGUCACAUAGUACAUCAAUCAAACAUAACGUAAAUCAAAUACACAUCAUGGUCAUUUAGGUGCCAAAUAAUGCAUUAUACCAUUUGUGUGUCGAGCGUAUGCACAACAUCAUCAUUUAUGUGCCAAACGUAUGCACAAUAUCAUUUUGUGCCUUUACCUUACUCGUACAUAACAAUUUUCUAUGGACAUAAGCAUUCUCAUAAACAUAAACAUCAAAAUUUAACUUAGCUCAUUCAAAUAGCUUAACUUAUAUUAACAUGUUUAACAUCAAGGUCGGGGGUGUUACAUCAUCCCUUCUUUAGAAAAAUUUAUCCUCGAAUUUAGCUUAACAUCAUUACAUCAAAUUCAUGCCUUAACUCUCGAAGAGGUAGGGAUACUUGGUUCUCGUAUCAUCCUCAAGUUCCCAUAUUGCAUUUUCCAUCUUUUGACUUUGCCACAAUACUUUCACUGAGGUAAUAUCUUUGGAGAGAAGCCGUUUCACUUACCGAUUUAAUAUGGCUACGAGUUGUUCCUCAUAGGUUGGUCCAUUUUGCAAUUGGACAUCAUCAUAAUGAAUCACAUGUGAAGGAUCGUGGACGUAUUUUCUAAGCAUGGAUACAUGAAAAAUUGGGUGUACAUUGGACCUAUUCAAUAGUAAUGCCAACUGAUAGACCAUUAUGCCUACAUGUUCCAGAAUCUCAAAUGGUCUGAUGCAUCUAGGGCUUAAUUUCCCUGUCUUGCCAAACCUUUUAACUCCUUUGGUUGGCGAAAUCUUUAGAAACACAUAGUCCUUUAUUUUAAAUUCCAAGGGUUUCCUUUUGUUGUCAGCAUAAGACUUUUGUCGACUUCGAGUGGGUUUCAUUCUCUCUCAUAUUAUGCAAAUGCCUUGCUCCGUUUCUUGGACCAUCUUUGGCUCCAUGAGUUUUCUCUCUCCAACUUCAAGCCAUCUUAUGGACAAUCUACAUCUUUACGCAUACAAUGCCUUAAACGGUGCCAUUUUGAUGGUGGCUUAAUAACUAUUAUUGUAGGCAAGUUCGACCAAAGGCAAAUAGUAAUUCCAUGAAACUCCAAAAUCAAAUACGACCGCUCUCAACAUAUCUUCAAGCAUUUGUAUGGUUUGCUCAAUUUGACCAUUUUCCUGUGGAUGAUAAGUCAUACUAAAAUCUAAUCUCGUGCCUAAGGCCUCUAGUAAUUUCUUUUAGAAUCAACUAGUAAACUACGUUCCUCAAUUGAAUACAAUUGUCACCGAAAUUCCAUGUAACGUUAUAAUUUCAUCACUAUAAAUACGAGCAUAUUGAUAUACCCCAUACAUAGCCUUGACGAGUAAAAAACGGGCUAACUUCGUUAGCUGAUUAACUAUUACCCAUAUGGGAUCAUAGCCUCCUCUAGCACCAGGUGAUGGUAAAAAACACUUAUCGUGUCUAGUAUGCAUUUUCUUAUUUUCCUUUUAUUUUGAUCAAGAUUUAUGUAGUUCAAGUUUAGAUAAGGGCUUCCUAAAUGUUAUACUUUUAAUUUAUCUAUUAAUUUUGCAGAAUCGUGUCAAGGAAAGGUCUUCACACCGUAAGGAUAUAGUUCAAUUCACAUCCAAUACAUAAUCCUUUGAGGUGAUCUUAAUUUACAUUUGCUCCGCAUUAAUUAAUUAGGAUUCCAUGUGUUCCAUUUUUUGUUUGUUUAAAAUGCUACUUGAGGUAGAAGAUGUAAGCAUUAAAAUAUACGUAAAAAGGAAUUAAGAUGUUAUCGUAUUUUUGAGUUCUAAAUCAAGAUUUGGUCAUAUAUUUCUCUAUAGAGUUUCAAAUGAAGCGAUUAUUGGACCAUUGGAAAGAUAAGAGUAAAAGAUACAACUUUUAUAUUUACUACUUUACCCAUUUCUGCUUGUAAGAUGGUUAAAAAACUUGUCGAAGUUAACAUACUGCAGCAGUCCUAAAGCAAUUACUAUUUCUGUUAAUUAAUUAGGCAAGGUUGCGACUCACAUAGUCUGGUGAGGAAAUCCCAACUGAAAUUGACUUCUUUCUCCACCCAACUUGGUCUAACUUCAAAGCUUAUAAAAACAACCUUUCGGAGAACGAAAAAGAAAACACCAGAUUGACAUUUGAGAGUCAAGCCACAGAGUUAUUGAAACUAAGAAGAAUUUGCAGGAUUCAAGGAGAUUUGGAGAUCAAGAAUACAAUUCUUGAGUUUUUCUAUAUUUUUUUAUUCUCUUAUUUGCUUGGUUUUGUUUUUAAUGUUUAGAUUUUAUUUGAUGAUAAUGUGUGAUGUGGAACUAAAUUGUUAAUCUAAGAUUAUGAUUGAACUCAAUAUGUAGUCUGAAUUAUUUAUCUCUCUUUUACUUAUGUUUGAUAGAUUUAGGUUGUUUAUUUUUAUUCUGUUCUUAAUACUUUUAGUUGACUGACCACCAAUUAGAUUGAAUUGAAAACCUAGGUUAAAUCUUGAUGAAUGAAAUUUAGGUAGACCUUGAAUAGAAUAGCCUAUGAUCAAAUACACUUAGUUGAUUAGGUGGUUUGAUUUGCAUAUAGAGUAGAUAUACACCUAUAAGCCAUACGUAGCCAAAAUUAAAGCACAAACUUAAUGAAUCUUUCUUCAAUAUAAUUCGCAUAGACAUAUAGUAAAUUAAUUAAGAAAGGUAUUUUUAUAAAAAACUCGACAGAUACUUGUAAAUAAUUUAGGACUCUAGGUUAGCAACUUAAUUCAUUAAACUAAGUUUAGAGAGAGAGAGAGAGACAAUAUUCAGAUGAAGUAUCGAGGGAUAUCAUAAUCUUAGGUCUGGUAGUCACUCAAAUUUAAUAAAGUAAAUUUGCUAAUAGAUUUUAGAUUAGUUUUAGUUAUAGUUUUUAGUUUAUUAAUUUAAAUUUUCCUAUUUAAUUUUAAUUAUUUAGAUAAAAUUAAAGUGUGUUAAUUUUAGUAGUUAACAAUAAGGAUUAAUUCAAUUUUCUGUGGGAUCGACACUCUAUUCAUCUCUAUAUUAUCUUUGUGAUACAUGCACUUGCAUGAGUAGAAAAUUAAACAACAAUAAUCAUCUUGUUUGCAAAGGAAUCAAUUAAGGUUGCACCUAUUGGAUUUAUCAUAGGGAAAAGUUGUCACCUUCUGUGAAUGUUGAUGAUGAUGUAGGUAUUGAAGACGAGUCAAAUAUGCAUGAUGUCGUAAAGCAAUUAUUGCAAGAUGUUAUGAGGCAAGAAGGUUAUGAUGAUCAUAUGGGUUAUUUUAAAGACAAUGAAUCUAUAAGUAUUGAUGAAGAAAAAGGUGGUGAGAGCCUAAAUUUGGAUGGUAUGAAAUUUUUUGAAUUAAUGAAAAAAUUGUUGACAGGAUGUACACCCUAGGUGCAUGAAAUUUAGUAAGCUAUCUUUUCUUCUUAGUUAGAUUACUUAAUAUCAAAGGAAUGACUAAAUGUAGCAAUGCUACAAUUACCAUGUUUUUGGAGUUGCUAAAGUUGAUCUUAUCGAAAGGUGAAAUGCUACCAAAAUCCUACAAUGAAGUGGCAAGGAUUAUGACAAGUUUAGGCCUUGAGUAUGGCAAAAUUGAUGCUUGUUGUAAUGAUUGUAAGCUUUAUUAAGGAAAUUAUGCUGAAGCAACAUCUUGUUAUAUAAAUGAAGCUUUGAGAUGGGAAGGAUAUUAUGAAGAUCAAGAUGCAAGUACUUCUACAAAACUUCAAAAAAUAUCGAAAAAGGUCCUUAAGUACUUUCCUUUGAAACUAGACUUGAAAGGUUAUUCUUAUUCUCCAAACUACUAAGGCAAUGAGGUGGCAUGAAGAAAGUCAUACUCAAGAUAGGAAAUUAAAGGAUCUAGUUGAUUCUCAAGCUUGGAAAGCCUUUGAUUCUUUAUUCCUUGAUUUUGCAGUAGAUCCUCAUAAUGAAAGGCUUGGCUUAACAACUAAUCGCUUCAACACAUUUAGAACUAUGAGUUUGUCUUAUAGCAUAUGGCUUGUCAUACUAAUUCCAUACAACCUACCGCCAUGGAUGUACAUGACGUCUUCAUACUUCAUGUUAUCUCUUUUGAUUCUUCAUCUUUUAUCACCUUCAAAUAAUAAUGAUGUUUAUUUGCAACCUUUAAUUAAAGAUUAAAGGAGUUAUGGGAGUUUUGAGCUACUACUUUUUAUGCUUCAAGCCAACAAACCUUUAAAAUGUGUGCAACUUUAUUUUGGACUAUUAGUGAUUUUCUAAGUUAUGCAAUGUUAUCUGGAUGGGGUACUAAAAGAAACCUAGCUUGUCCUACUUGUAACUAUGAAACUUCUCCCAUAUUCUUGAACCAUAGUAAGAAAAAUGUGUACUUGGAGUAUAGAAGAUUUUUGAAUUUAAAUCAUAAAUGGAGGUCCAAUAAGAAAUCUUUUGAUGGAACUGUAGAGUUAGGCUCCUCACCAGUGUUGCUUUCUAGGUUUGAUGUGUUAAAAGUAUUGAAAGAUUUUAAUAAUAAAUUUGGAAACACCCAAAAGCAUGCAGAUGAUGAUAGUCCAUGGAAGUAAAAAAGUAGUUUUUAUGAGCUACCCUAUUAAGAGUAUAAGCUCUAACGUCACAAUAUAGAUGUGAUGCAUAUAGAGAAAAAUGUUUGUGAUUCUUUUCUUGCCACACUUUUAGAUAUUGAUGGAAAAAAAAAUGAUCUGUUGAAAGGUCGUCUUGACCUACAAGAUUUGGGUAUAAGAGAAGAGCUUCAUCCUAUACGUCUUGCGCUUGACAAAAUACUUCUACCACUUGCAUGUUUUUCAAUGACUUCAAAGGAGGAAGGUGUCCUUUGUGAAGUUUUGAAAGGAAUGAAAAUUCUAAAUAGCCAUGCAACUAAUAUUUAAAGUAUGUCAAUCUCAAAAAGCGUGAAAUUUCAAGAUUAAAAGGUUAUGACUCUCUCUUUGAUGCAUUAUGUACUUCACAUAGCUGUUCAAAAAGUAUUGCCAAAACAUGUGGUCAAAGUCUUGAUUAGACUAAGUGCCUUAUUUCAAGGAAUAUACACCAAAAUUAUCCAACAGGAAGAGUUUUAGCGCUUUGAAAAAGAGAUUGCAAUGGUACUUUGUGAACUUGAAAGAAUUUUUCCAUCAUUUUUUUUGACAUCAUGAUCCAUUUUCCUAUUCAUUUGGCAUGUGAAGAUAUGCUAGAUGGGCCACUCUAAUAUCAUUACAUGUACCUUGUAGAAAGGUAUGUAUAAUUAUUAACUAAGUUUCAUUAAGGUUAUGGCCAAAUUAUUAAUCUUAUGCCUUUUAAUAGAUAUUUUCUCAAAAUGAAAUCUUAUGUAUGUAAUAAAAAUCAUCCAGAAGGUUGAAUAGUAUAAGGCUUUUUAACAGAGGAAUGCAAUGAUAAUGUUGAAACAAGGUUCAAUAGACUUGCUAGGAAUUAUGAUGGUAGUGGAAUGGACUCAAAAAAGCCAAAUUUGUUCCCAAGAAUGGGUUGCUCUCUAGGUAGUGGUGAGAUUUCUACACUAACCUUCAGCUUUUGGAUUAUAUCUCAUAGAUGUGUGCUUUUCAAUUGUCCUGCAAUUAAGCAAUACCUAAAGUAAGAUUUCAUCCUAUUAUUUUAUCUCGUAGAUACGUUUCCAAUUUUUUUUAUUUGAUUUUAGAGUUCUAUAUAUACUUAUAGAUAUUUUCUUAUUUUCUAUGUUGCAUGUAGAGAACAUCAAUAACGACGGCUCAAUAACUUUAACAGUUCGAAGCAAAAUAUUCAAAUGAGGCCCCUUUAUUGAAAUUAAGGUAAAUUUUUUUUUUAAAACUUUGAUUAACUAAAUUCAUAUUUUCGGUUUAACAUAUUCAAAUAUUUAUUAUGAAGUCUCAAAAAUAUUUAACUAUUAUAAUUAUUUUAUAUUUUUUAAAUGGCUAAUAUAAAAUCAACAAUUAAAAUUUCGAAUUCAAAUAAAUUAACUACCAUAUAAAAUAAAGACAACAUAAAAAUACAAUAUAAACUCUAAAUUAAAAUAAAAAAAGUUUGCAAAGAUUAAAAUAAUAGUACAUGAUUAUUAAAUGCUUAUUGCAAAUUGUAAAUGAGGCUUACAACUUUGUAAAGAUAAUAGCAUAACAGAUUUUCUAUGUAUUCUUUGGAGGAAAUAUGAAGUUAAAGGAAGAAAGAGCGUAUGGCAGAAGAAAAAUUCAAGAGUGAAUAUUAUAAAUUGAAAAGAAAAAGUUGAGAGGUGAUAAAAAAUUGAGAUUUGUUAGACACAUAAUUAAAGAAGUGGAUGAAUAUGUUAUUUUAUUAAUUUUUUUUACUUUUACAUAUUUUUAAUGAAAAAUGAGAUAAUUAGUUCAGAAUAAAUAGGGACGUGGAAGUGAGAGAAAAUAAAUAUUUAUUAGGGUGUAGGUAAAUAUUUUAUAUAUUAUCUUAAUUUUUAUAUAUUUUAAUAUAAUUAAUUAGAUUAUUAUUAUAAAAAUAUGGAGUCUUUUCAAAUUCGAGGCUUAAAGCCCUUGCUUGGGUGGCCUUAUCCAAGGGCCAGCCUUGAAUAUGAAAACCUUAUUAUGUAGUGUUCUUGUUCAAGAAAAUGGAAUAGAGCAUGUAGCCAUAGCUUAGAAUUUCACGAAUGGUUUGAAACUCGAGUUAAAAACCAACAAGUUUUAAAGGAAAUUAAGUGGUUGUCACGAGGUCCUAGUCAAGUGGUUAGAAGGUUUAAAGGUUUGAUUAUUAAUGGCUUUCGGUUUCAUACCUAAGAUCAUGGAAAGAAAAAAAAAAGACUCAAAAUAGUCUAGUGGUUAUUACGGUAUUAACUGAAAGUUAUGAAAGUUCUCAAAAUCAAAACCUAAUUAAAGGGGAUGUUACAUAUUAUGGAGUCUUGCAAGAUAUCAUUGAGUUAGACUACUAUAGGCAUUUUAAUGUUGCGGUACUUAAAUGUGAUUGGUUUCAAGUGAAGCAAGAUGAAUUUGGAUUUUCACUUGUGAACUUCAUGAGGUUGACUAGUCAGAAUGAUCCUUUUGCAUUGGCAUCUCAUGUGAAACAAGUUUUUUACAUUCAAGAUUUGAUUGGCAUGUUGUUAUCGAGCCUAGUGGUCCAAGAGACUUAUAUGAUCUGUCUAGAUCAAAUGAAGAACAUGCAUAGCAAAUUCAUAAUGAGCCAAAUGUUUCCUUUUGGAUCCAAUUAUCAAUGUUAGUGAUAAUAGUGUUGGUUAUUCAAGGGAUGACAUGGAUGGAGUAAGAAUUAAUAAAUCAUUAAAUAUUGCUCAAAUAAAAAAAUGAUGAUACAUCUUUGGAUAUUGCUCAAGAUUGUAUUAUUAAUUUGACUCUUUUUAUUUAAUUUAAAUAUGUGUAGGUGUUGCUUUUAAUAGUUUUUUUUUUUUGUCUUCCCAAAUCUAAGGCUUUAUCUUUUAUUUUAGCAUAACCUUUUUCUUUGCGCUAACUUUUAACUGUAGUAUUUUUCCAAUGGAUAACUUUUACUACAAUGGCAAAGACUAAGCAUUAAAAGUCAGGCACUAUGUCAAAUUUUCUUACAAGAGAGACUAGUUCAUGUUCUUGCCCACAACAACCACAACCCUACCCAUUGCCACAUGUUCUUCAUUUUCAAGAAGUUUUUUUUCAUUCCAAACAAGGACAACAAUUUCCCUAUAGAACAAAACAGCCUUUAAUGGUGUGAAAGAAAACUUGUUAUUAGCCUUUUCAUGUCUUUCUUUAGUGCUAGCAAAAGUUUCUUUUAUUUUUUCUAUUUAUCUUUGAUUCAAUAGCCGACUAACUCUUUGUUAUUAUAUACUUGGAAUGUACUCAAAUAUGCUUUUUAUUGUUUUUUUUUAUGCAAAACUUAUGAUAGUUUAAUAAACUUUUUAUUUAUAUGAAGGAAAUGAAUUUUGAAGUGCAACACUUUGCUAGUCAAUGAUUAAUGCUAAUUCUGAAAAUGAAGGUAUUGUUAACGAUUUUGUUAUGACAGAAAAUAGUUAUUGAUUAGAAUCUAUUUUUUUUAACGUUUUCUUGUUUUAAAAUUCUUUCAAUAUUUUUACUUAUUACUUUUUUAUGUAGGUUUUUCCACCAAGAAGACUAAAGGGCCUACUAGGGCUCCUUAAAUUCAUGGAUGUCAAUUGUAACUUCAUCUUAUUAAACACAAGACACCAGCCUAUUGGUCCUAUUAAUGAAGGUAUUAACAAUUUAAGCAUUUUCUUGGGAACCUUGGUACGAAAUCCUAUGUUGGCUCCUCUUGUUUAUGUUGAUUGAAAGGUAAUGCUUCAAUCUAAUAAAAAUGAUAUGUGGAAUCUAGUGAAUGUAUUACUGUCACGACCCAAAACUCCCAUCGAGCCCGUGACAAUCGCCGCGAAGCCUCGACAGACAUUCUUCACCCCGAAUGCUGAUCGAAACCUCGCAAGGCUCUCAUAUCAGCUUUCGCACUUCCCCGGUGAGCAAUAGUUAUCAAAUAUCGUAAUUCAAAGGAUUACGAGUCAUUUCUAAAUCAGAACAUAACAUAUUGUUUUCUGGCUCACAGGGGCAUUUUUGUCAUUUUUCGUUGAAAAUCUCAAAACUUGCUAAAAAUGUAGUAGGUAAGCAGAAAAUAUAUAUUUAGUGAUUUAAAAACAAAUUAAGUAUCUAAAACAUUCAUUUGAAGUGAAAAUUUGACCAUUUGAAUAUAAUAAAAAUAUUCAAUAAAAUAAACUAUUUUUUUGUAAAAUAAUUUUUUAUAAAGCUAUCGAUAAAUAAUUCUUAUAGCGUGAAAGUUAAUUAUAUUCAUAUAUACUAUAAAGCAAAUAACCAAAGCAUAAAAUUACUUUUAUAGUGACACGUGGGCCCCCAACUAACCAAUAAAGUGCGAGUCUGUGAACCUACAAUUUUGUCGAUGCAAGGCUAACUGAAGUCCUUGAUGCAAUUAGCUAUCUACCGGCUAUCCCGAGUCUGAAAUGUGGGGAAUUGAGGGUGGUGAGAUUAUAAAAUCCCAGUGAGUAAACAGACACCAUCUAAACUAUCUAAAGGUGAGUAAAUGGAGACGAAUUAAAAUAAGUCACCAUAUUGUAAUUUCAUUACCUUUCAACUCAUUUCAACUAACUGAACAAAUAGGCUUAUGAUUUCCUGAAAAGCUUGGCUCGUGUCAAAAAUCAUUCUCAUACUCAUUUAUCAGGGAUACCUUGAUCGAGGGUUAUCCCAACCGAGUCCGCCAAGGCUGUUAAAUGUCUUUACAUCCGAAAUUUUAGCCAUGCCUUGGCGUUGGAUGAGUCUCACUCUCACGUGGUGGUCCACGUGAAGUGCACUCAUAUCUUUACCUCAGGAGAUACUUCAUCCAACAUCUCCCCCCGGAGGUAAAUAUAUAAUUGGGUUACCGUGCCCCUCUUAUAGGCAGUCCAUGAAAAUCCCCACCACUGCAGUGACUGGAUUAUUUUAUCUAUCACCUGAUUUAUAAAAUCUUUUUCUGCAUGACAUGGAAAUUUAUCGCAACCUAGCCUCUUAAGGCUGAAUACACAGUACAAAUAAUUAUAACACCAAAAAUCAGUUUAGCCAUUCAUGCUCAUAUAUUGUCAUAAGCCAUUCAAUUUAAAACCAUAAAUUUACAACACAAGCAGGCAGUCUCCAAUUACUCUAUUUUCAAAACCAAUAUUAAAUUUUUCAGAAAAUUCAUAAAAUCAUUUUAUAAAAUCAUAAUUUCUCCUAAGACAUAGCAAUUUACCAUUUAAACCCAUUUUCCAUAAAAUCACACAAUUGUAUAAAACUACUUUAGAUAAUUAAGACGAUAAUAAUUUUACUCACAGUUCUAGGAGUCGAUGUACUCCUAAUCUCAGUCUCCAAGCACAAUCUCUGUACUUUUACCAGUGUAAUUUACUCACCACCU